rnacentral:rRNA from 1 species
UACGUAGGGGGCAAGCGUUGUCCGGAAUCAUUGGGCGUAAAGGGUGCGUAGGCGGCGCGGUAAGUCGGGUGUGAAAUCUCGGGGCUUAACUCCGAAACUGCAUUCGAUACUGUCGUGCUUGAGGACUGGAGAGGAGACUGGAAUUUACGGUGUAGCGGUGAAAUGCGUAGAUAUCGUAAGGAAGACCAGUGGCGAAGGCGGGUCUCUGGACAGUUCCUGACGCUGAGGCACGAAGGCCAGGGGAGCAAACGGG